rnacentral:rRNA from 1 species
AUGGGCGCAGCCUGAUGCAGCCAUGCCGCGUGUGUGAAGAAGGCCUUCGGGUUGUAAAGCACUUUCAGCAGUGAGGAAGGUGGUGUCGUUAAUAGCGGCAUCGUUUGACGUUAGCUGCAGAAGAAGCACCGGCUAACUCCGUGCCAGCAGCCGCGGUAAUACGGAGGGUGCGAGCGUUAAUCGGAAUUACUGGGCGUAAAGCGCAUGCAGGUGGUUAGUUAAGUCAGAUGUGAAAGCCCGGGGCUCAACCUCGGAACUGCAUUUGAAACUGGCUGACUAGAGUACUGUAGAGGGGGGUAGAAUUUCAGGAGUAGCGGUGAAAUGCGUAGAGAUCUGAAGGAAUACCGGUGGCGAAGGCGGCCCCCUGGACAGAUACUGACACUCAGAUGCGAAAGCGUGGGGAGCAAACAGGAUUAGAUACCCUGGUAGUCCACGCCGUAAACGAUGUCUACUUGGAGGUUGUGGCCUUGAGCCGUGGCUUUCGGAGCUAACGCGUUAAGUAGACCGCCUGGGGAGUACGGUCGCAAGAUUAAAACUCAAAUGAAUUGACGGGGGCCCGCACAAGCGGUGGAGCAUGUGGUUUAAUUCGAUGCAACGCGAAGAACCUUACCUACUCUUGACAUCCACAGAACUUAGCGGAGACGCUUUGGUGCCUUCGGGAACUGUGAGACAGGUGCUGCAUGGCUGUCGUCAGCUCGUGUUGUGAAAUGUUGGGUUAAGUCCCGCAACGAGCGCAACCCUUAUCCUUGUUUGCCAGCACUUCGGGUGGGAACUCCAGGGAGACUGCCGGUGAUAAACCGGAGGAAGGUGGGGACGACGUCAAGUCAUCAUGGCCCUUACGAGUAGGGCUACACACGUGCUACAAUGGCGCAUACAGAGGGCGGCCAACUUGCGAAAGUGAGCGAAUCCCAAAAAGUGCGUCGUAGUCCGGAUUGGAGUCUGCAACUCGACUCCAUGAAGUCGGAAUCGCUAGUAAUCGUGGAUCAGAAUGCCAC